rnacentral:rRNA from 1 species
GUUGGUGGUUAGAGCUGCGGGGGUACACCCGGUCCCAUGCCGAACCCGGUCGUUAAGUCCGCAAGCGCCGAUGGUACUGCGUUGGAAGCGACGUGGGAGAGUAGGCCACUGCCAACC